rnacentral:rRNA from 1 species
CCUGACUUAGGACAAACGCUGGCGGCGUGCCUAACACAUGCAAGUCGAACGGAGAUUUAGGCAAGUUUACUAUCUAAAAUCUUAGUGGCGGACGGGUGAGUAACGCGUGGGUAACCUACCCAUAAAGCCGGGACAACCCUUGGAAACGAGGGCUAAUACCGGAUAAUCUUAUAACUUGGCAUCAAGAGAUAAGGAAAGGUGGCCUCUGAAAAUGCUACCGAUUAUGGAUGGACCCGCGUCUGAUUAGCUGGUUGGUGGGGUAAAGGCCUACCAAGGCGACGAUCAGUAGCCGGCCUGAGAGGGUGAACGGCCACACUGGGACUGAGACACGGCCCAGACUCCUACGGGAGGCAGCAGUGGGGAAUCUUCCGCAAUGGACGAAAGUCUGACGGAGCAACGCCCGCGUGUAUGAUGAAGGUUUUCGGAUUGUAAAGUACUGUCUUUGGGGAAGAACGGUGUACUUGAGAAUAUUGAGUACAAGUGACGGUACCCAAGGAGGAAGCCCCGGCUAACUACGUGCCAGCCGCCGC